rnacentral:rRNA from 4 species
CGGGAGGCAGCAGUGGGGAAUAUUGCACAAUGGGCGCAAGCCUGAUGCAGCCAUGCCGCGUGUAUGAAGAAGGCCUUCGGGUUGUAAAGUACUUUCAGCGGGGAGGAAGGUGUUGUGGUUAAUAACCGCAGCAAUUGACGUUACCCGCAGAAGAAGCACCGGCUAACUCCGUGCCAGCAGCCGCGGUAAUACGGAGGGUGCAAGCGUUAAUCGGAAUUACUGGGCGUAAAGCGCACGCAGGCG